UCCUGGUUCCCCAAUCCCCUAGCCAUGGAUGGGGUCCGCUCUAGGCCCAUCUCUUACAGCAGCCUCCUCACCAGUUUCCUGAUUCCGUCUCCUUCCAUUCAAUCCUCCCCAUGUCUGAUCUGCCAACAGAUGUCCUCUACUUCUCAGAAGUUGUCAGUGGAAUUCCACUGCCCUCAGCCUAGCACUCAAGACCCCACCUAAUCAGGUCCCAAACCACCUCCUCAUACCUUGUCCCCAUUCUCCUGCACAAAACCCUGCCUUCUCCCAGAUUGGAGAACUGGCCUUGACAUACCUGUGUUUUCCCAACUCUAUAGUUCACUGCCAAAGCAUUCCCUUGGCCUGGAAAGCCACUCCCAACUUCUGUGCCUGCUGGAUUUCUAUCCAUCCUUCAAAGCCUAUGACAAACGUGACCUCCUUCAUGAAGCCCUCCCUCCAUUCCACCAGGAAAUGAUCUGUCCCUCCUGGAUGUCUCAUAGCACCUGGUAUACAGGCUUCUCUGAUGCCACCAGAUCCAAACUGGAAAGUCACCAGCAGCAAAUCCUCCUGCACUUGUCUCCUUUGACUCUCACAACACGUUGACUCAGCUAAAAGAUACUGACAACAGCAACGCGAGUCACUGGCAAGUCUGGCAGAAGAUCACUGGGUUUUCUCAGUGUGCGAUCCAGGGUGUGGCACCGAGUCUGGUUUGCUUCAGUUCCAUUCCCUCCCGGGAAAGGGCUCCCAAGUUUGGCCUUGUCCUUUCUCCCACCAUCCCUAUCUUAUUGUUUUCCUUUCUUUCUCCCUUCCUUUCAUUCCUCUGUUGGUAGUGCUCAACCUAGUCUGCACGUGGGAAUUGCCUAGGGAGAUUUAAAUACUACUGAUGCCCAAAGAUUCUGAUUCUUGGUUCGGGGUGUAGUCUAGGCAAUAGGAUUUGCAAAAGCUCUCUAGGUGAUUCUACUAUGCAAACCACUGAUCUGGGGACAUGGUUGUGGGAUCCCAACUUUAGCCCUGAGAGUCAGAUGUGCCUGCUUUGGAUUUGAAGAAGUGUGGGGUACUGGCAUGUAUUAGCUAUGGAGGAAGGAAAGGGAAGUGGAGCGAAAUAAAACCUGCCCAUAUUCCCCUGCCCCACCACUCUGUGAACUCAGGGAAGCCAGUCCUGUGGGUGUCCAGGCGACAAGGAGUAGAAGAACAUAUCAAGACACAUUGAGGCUCUGGCACACCAGGGGCACCAGGGCAGUAGUGCUGUUCAAGAGCCUCAGGUGCUGUCAUUUAGAGAAGCUCCAAGAGACAUUGCCAUGGGCCCGGGCAGCAGCACUGUCACAGGCCUGCCAGCAACAAGGCUUGCUCUGGAGUGAUCGUGCGCAACACGGUAUCACAGUGCAGAACAGGGUGGGGAGAAGGGAUUUUGAUAAGACACAACACCCAUUCUCGCAGACAGUCCUGUUCAUGAGCACAUGUGGGGCACUCCCAAGGGGACCCCUAAAUCACAAAGAAAAGCCUAAGGCAGAUGGGAGCCAACACAGUGAAAUCUGGUCGUUUCAUUGAUGGGGUCCCAUCUGGACUUAUGGAAUGGUGAGGUCUAGGGACACUGGGUCACAGAUACAAGCCACAAUUAUGAAAGUGGUGGUAUUGGCAGUGCGGUAAGGUCUAGCAGACAUUUGGCAACCUUCUCCGAAAUUGCCCCUUAGUUGGCUCAGCCCUGCCCCUUGCCCCCACAUAGUUUUUUCUCUGUGUGUUGACCGUGCAAUCAGGUCCUCGCAACUCAUGGCUCCCUGCAUGUAUGCACCUAGUGAGAAUGAUUUGCUUUGCUUCCUGUGCAAGUUCUUUCUCUUCUUUUUAAAUCACAUUCUCUCCUAAAUUAGAAAACCUCUUUAAUUGUUAGCAGGAGCUGGGGUUCUGCGCCUUGCAUGGACAAUAUCAUUAAACAUUGGAAAAUAAACAAACUGGAAAAGUUUAA